GCCCAGACUCCUACGGGAGGCAGCAGUGGGGAAUAUUGCACAAUGGGGGAAACCCUGAUGCAGCGACGCCGCGUGAGCGAUGAAGUAUUUCGGUAUGUAAAGCUCUAUCAGCAGGGAAGAAAAUGACGGUACCUGACUAAGAAGCCCCGGCUAACUACGUGCCAGCAGCCGCGGUAAUACGUAGGGGGCAAGCGUUAUCCGGAUUUACUGGGUGUAAAGGGAGCGUAGACGGCUGUGCAAGCCAGAUGUGAAAGCCCGGGGCUCAACCCCGGGACUGCAUUUGGAACUGUGUGGCUGGAGUGUCGGAGAGGCAGGCGGAAUUCCUAGUGUAGCGGUGAAAUGCGUAGAUAUUAGGAGGAACACCAGUGGCGAAGGCGGCCUGCUGGACGAUGACUGACGUUGAGGCUCGAAAGCGUGGGGAGCAAACAGGAUUAGAUACCCCCGUACG
rnacentral:rRNA from 1 species